AUUCCUCACCCGCUCCUCUUCAUCUCUUGCGUCCGUUUACCUUCGCCGCCCAGAUUCAGUACCUCUCGCCAGACUCUCACCUGGAUCCCAGACUCCUUCUUCUCCAGUCUUCUGAGCGGACGCAUCUCGACGCUGAAAGAUGAGACCGGAGCAGUGAGUCGGACAAGAGCUGAAAUGGGAUGGGGGGAGGGGUUGGUAGGAAGAGGGGCAGGACCCCACUCAGUCCUGCCUUUUACCCCAUCCAUCCUCUGCCCCCCUUCCCCGCAGAUCUUCAUCGACAGGGACCCUACAGUCUUCGCCCCCAUCCUCAACUUCCUGCGCACCAAAGAGUUGGACCCCAGGGGUGUCCACGGUUCCAGCCUCCU
rnacentral:sRNA from 1 species